UAACGGAAAGAGCGACCCGGCACUCUUAGCACCCUCUACUGGAAGUUCGAGAAAACCUAUUUCACGAACUAAUCGCUCCUGCUCUUCGAGAACGUCAAAGUUCGUCCGUUUUCUUCUUCGAUUUUCUUCUUUUUUUUUCCAGUUCUUCGGUGUUUCUUUGGCGGACAACGGGUCAUUAGUUCGAGAUAACAAAUUAAGGAAGCAAUGAUAGAACGAACAUGGACAAGAGAAACGAAUUCUACAGAGCAAUUCGCCAUUAGCAAGCCCACAAAAACUGAUCUGGAAAUAUUCAUGCUUCAAGAGGGACGAGAUGCCGUGGUAAAUAUUUUUUCAAUUAAAAGUCGAUUUAAGCCCCGGAGACGACUCUAAGAUUCUCGAGUUUCUAAACGAUCACUGGGAGAAGAACCGCUAGCGACAUCUCUCGGCGCCUCUCCGAACACGCUUCAAGAUUUCUAUCGGUAUUUCGCUUAAUCGAAAUUCGAGAGCAUCAAAGUAUUGGACACGAAAACUACCAUUUGAGACACGACCAACCCGUUUCGUCAAAAUCGCGAAAUCUGAUACGGCAAUGGUCGCUUCGACACCUGUUUCUAAUCACCAGACACCACCUUACACCGGGCCGCUCCUGUUUCCCAUAAAUUUCCGUAACUGCUCGUCGAGGCGUUACAUAUUCGAUGGGGUCAAACAAAUAGAGGACGAAACAGUAAGGCUGACCUGACACGUCCUGUUUUACAUAUAAUGGGACCCCAUAAGUUACAAUGUACAGAGGCGGUAAUACACCAGGCUGGCCUGUACAGGACCAUGGCCCAUGGCUUGUUGGCGCAAUUGCACACAAUGGUCAAACCGGUGGGCCAGCCGACUCGAAAACUUAAAAAAUGAAAAAAGGAGAAAGAAGAAAGAGCAUAGAGUGGGUUAGGGGCCCAGUGUCGAAACAUUUGGAUCCCACUUACCGAGUCGGCCACAAUGCAUUGAUUAAUGAAGGACAUCAAGACCGACACGCGGUACCCGCUAAGAAUUUAAUAUGGACCAACACCGUGUGAUGCCGUCCGGAUGUUUUACUAGCGUAUUAAGCCUGUCUAACGAUGCCCCGGGUGAGAGACGAACAUAUUUUCGUCUUUGAUUUACGUCCCCUUGUCAGGCAUGUCAGGUGGCGGA